AUGCAUCCCCUCUCCUCCUCCGCCUCCGCCUCCGCCGGGCCGGCGACGCACCGCCUGCGGCUCUGGUGGCGCCGCCUGGGCCGCCGCGGGGCCGCCGGGGCCGCGGCCUUCGCCUUCGCGCUCCUCGCCGCCGCAUUCUUCCUCGCCCCCUCCCGCGACGCUUCCGCACCGUCCACCGCAUCCUACCCUUCCUACGGCCACCGGCUCCCCACGCUCGUCGACCUCACCCUCGUCGCCGGCGCCAGGGAGAGGGGCGCCGUGUGCCUGGACGGGACCCCGCCUGGGUACCACUGGCUCCCGGGGUUCGGGGAGGGGUCCGACAAGUGGCUCCUCCACUUGGAGGGUGGAAGCUGGUGCAGGAACCUGACAUGGUGUGCUCAGCGUAAAGAAACAAAUCUAGGUUCUUCUGACCACAUGGGAAGGCGGGCUGAGUUCGUCGGCAUCCUGAGCGACGACCAACUGCAGAAUCCAGAUUUUUACAAUUGGAAUAAAGUGAAGGUAAGGUAUUGUGAUGGUGCCUCAUUUUCUGGAAACGUUGAAGAGGAAUUUCAGGACGGCACCCCUUUCUUCUUCAGAGGCCAGCGUAUCUGGGAAGCAGUCAUGAGUGAACUUUUAUCAAAGGGCCUAUCCCGUGCUAAAGAGGCUUUUCUUACAGGCUGCUCGGCUGGUGGCCUAUCCACUUACAUUAACUGUGAUGACUUCCGUGCACUUGUACCAAAGGCGUCUACUGUUAAGUGUCUUGCUGAUGGUGGUUUUUUCCUUGACGUGGAAGACAUUUCUGGGAGAAGAUAUAUGCGUGGAUUCUAUAACGACGUUGCUCGUCUACAGGACCUGCGGAAAAAGUUUACUCACUGCAGUUCAGAUAUGGAGCCAGGACAGUGCAUUUUUCCACGGGAAGUUGCAAAAGGCAUCCACACCCCAAUGUUCAUUCUCAAUCCAGCAUAUGAUGUUUGGCAGGUGGAGCAUGUUUUGUCUCCAGAAGGAUCCGACCCUGAACGCUUGUGGCAAAAUUGCAGGUUGGAUAUUACUAAAUGUGAUUCAAAGCAGUUGGAAACUCUCCAAGGUUUUAGGAAAGAGUUGCUUGAUGCUAUAAGUGAAUUCAAGAAGAAAAAGGAUUGGGGCAUGUUCAUUAACGCCUGCUUUAUACACUGUCAAUCAAUGAACUCCUUGACUUGGCACUCCCCAUCUGCCCCUAGAAUCAACAACAAGACAAUCGCUGAAUCGGUGGGAGACUGGUUCUUUAACCGGAGAGAGGUGAAGGAAAUCGACUGUGAAUACCCCUGCAACCCGACAUGCCACAACGCAGUCCUCGAUCAAGCUUACAAGGAAGAAUGA
rnacentral:rRNA from 1 species